rnacentral:lncRNA from 1 species
GAGAACAAUGGACUUUUUGAUGUGUGUUGCAACAAACUCAUAGCGGAUGGCUGUAAAUCGGAGGGAUCACCAGGUCUGCCUACCAGCCACCAGGCAAGUGGGGAGAAGCUGUCACCCCAACUUGAGUUUCAAGAAGACUCCUUGGAAGAAAAGACCACCAAAUUGAGAAUGAAAAGAUCAUACGCGGGGGUCGUCAGACAUGGUCUGAGACUCUGGGAAGAACAGCAGCCUGGCCCUGCUACCCCCAGGCUUCUGCUCACAGCACUGACCCCAGCUAAUCCAAGAACAUGUCACCUAUAAUGAGAAUAUUGAAGAAAAAUCAACCAUCUUUCAGAUGUGUCUGUAUCAUGGUACGGUACAUGGGUAAGGACAGUAAGUUGUAGCUAUUCUUGAGAUGGGGCAGUGGCUCCAUGCUCUGGCCCCCAACCUCAGCAGCUGUCCCAGCUCAUCACCUUGAGUGCUGGCUUUCCCAUCCCGUCUCAGGAUCUGCACUGGACGGGCACCAGGUCUUUCUUCAGCGAACAUCUAAACUCUCUCAAGUGUCUCCAGAGACUUUCACACGUCUACAAAGAUGACCUCAUUCUGUAAGAGCAUGGAUUUAACUUGCUCUUCGAUGUCACUCCUUCACAGAGUGCACUGUUCAUCGUCACCCUAUCCACUAGCGUCAGUCUUAAUAAAAGUCAAACAUCAAUGUUAGUGGUAACUCUGGAGGCUUGGCAUUGUAGUGAUAUCCCCAAGAGAAAAUUGUUCUGAACCUUUCUGGGAAAAUUCACGUACGUUUUUUUCAAAUGCUAGUUUUUAUAAUCUCGCUACCAUGUGGCUUUCCUGAAGAAUGAAAUUUCUGACGUCCUUCAAGUAGAGAGAGGUAAAACUUUUUCUAGAACAUGAAUUGCCCACUCCUGUCAUCCCUUCUCAGAAACUAACUGAAUUCCAGUGGGUGCGCCUGGCAAACGCAAACACGGUUUCCGUUCAGGAUGCUGGUCUUACCUGUGAAGGCAAACGCGGUUUCCGUUCAGGAUGCUGGUCUUACCUGUGAAGGCGUUCAUGAACGUGGAGAGGGGCCGGCUCAACAUUUUGAAGAAAGGGUCUCUGCACGGAUAUUUCCGAGACCCACAAAGGACGGUGUGCUCAAGAAUGUGAGGAACACCGGUGCUGUCCAUGGGAGUGGUGCCGAACUGCACGCUAGGGAAGAAGGAACGGCACGCCAGGGAAGGGGGAGGAAUAAGGAACAGAAGGCCAGGGACGGGGAGGAACAGAACGCUAGGGAAGGAGAAUGACUAGAAUACAAAACGUUCAUCUUAGUGCUGCGGACACAGUUCCCAGAUGCAUCAUCACCUCAGGCUACUAGAAAUUAUCAUUCUGACACCACAAUCCUCCAACACAGGGUCUCCCAACUCUAAUGUAAAUCAUUGAUUCAGACUAUAACAUUGUAUUUUGAUGAGAUUGUAAGUCCCUGUAAGCUUUUCCUUAUUUUUCAAGAUGCUCUGUCAAUAAAAAUACUAGUGAGAUGAUAUUUAAA